rnacentral:lncRNA from 1 species
GUUCUGAAGGUGUAGUCAAGGUGCUGUGGUAUCUGGUGACAGUGGUCUGGUGGCAGGGUCCCAAGAUGGUGCUGGACAUCCCUUGGUCAGUGAUAGAAAAGAACAGAACAUACGGGAAAUGGGAAUAAAACAGCUACAUUGGGGAAGGAGAGAAGAGCGAAGGCUGAGAAUGUCCUAGAACUCUGCAACUUAAAGUGUGAUUCAGGGAUGGCUUCUGACCCUGCACAAGACAUCUUCUGAGGGCCCAUUUACUGCUGGCUGCUUUUUUUAGAUGCUUCUUGCCCUUAUGAAACUUAUAUUUCAUUGGAAAGAGCCUUUUGGAAAUAAGUGCUUUUUGAAGAUGUUUACAUCAGUGGUGAACAGCGAGUAAGGAAUUGAAAUGU